rnacentral:rRNA from 1 species
UACGGAGGGGGCAAGCGUUAUUCGGAAUCAUUGGGCGUAAAGGGCGCGUAGGCGGCUUGGCAAGUCAAAGGUGAAAUCCCUCGGCCUAACCGAGGAACUGCCUUUGAUACUGCUUGGCUUGAGGCCGGGAGAGGGUAGCGGAAUUCCCAGUGUAGCGGUGAAAUGCGUAGAUAUUAGGAAGAACACCAGUGGCGAAGGCGGCUCACUGGCCCGGUACUGACGCUGAGGCGCGAAAGCGUGGGGAGCAAACAGG